GAUGAACGCUGGCGGCGUGCCUAAUACAUGCAAGUCGAGCGAACGGACGAGAAGUUUGCUUCUCUGAUGUUAGCGGCGGACGGGUGAGUAACACGUGGAUAACCUACCUAUAAGACUGGGAUAACUUCGGGAAACCGGAUCUAAUACCGUAUGAUAUUUUGAACCGCGUGGUUCGAAAGUGAAAGACGGUCUUUCUGUCACUUAUAGAUGGAUCCCCGCUGCAUUAGCGAGUUGGUAAGGUAACGGCUUAUCAAGGCAACGCGGCAUAGCCGACCUGAGAGGGUGAUCGGCCACACUGGAACUGAGACACGGUCCAGACUCCUACGGGAGGCAGCAGUAGGGAAUCUGCCGCAAGGGGCGAAAGCUGGACGGAGCAACGCCGCGUGAGUGAUGAAGGUCGUCGGAUCGUAAAACUCUGUUAUUAGGGAAGAAGAUAUGUGUAGUAACGGUGCACAUCUUGACGGUACCGAAAAAGAAAGCCACGGCUAACUACGU
rnacentral:rRNA from 1 species